CAGGCCUGGAGACCCGGGAGUGCCUUGGGGAGAGGGUCCCCGCCCUGCCGGGAGCCCGGCCCUCCCGGUGCCGGGGUGGACACUGUUAGUGUAGUCAUUGUCCCUAUGGAGAAACUGAGGCAUGGAGAGGCUGAAGUCACACAAAACCCUGGGCUUGUGUCUCAGUGAAACCUGCCUCAUUGUCUGAGAUAUCACUGAAGUUCUG
rnacentral:lncRNA from 10 species